rnacentral:pre_miRNA from 1 species
UCACCUCCGCAGGCUGCGGGCCCCAGGCUGGUGGGCGAGUAUCUCUUCAAAAGGCUCCCCCUCAAGCACGACCAGGAGC